ensembl:ncRNA lncRNA:CR45237 long non-coding RNA:CR45237
CAAAGAAAACUGGACUAGCAGCGGUCUCCCCCGGAGUCCCCCUCGCAGGCCAUUCCUCUUUCUACCCCACUCCGUUGCAGCCACGAAACUUGCUUCGAUUAAAUCUUUCAACGCCCGGCAACUGAGUCAUUGGACUUGCCCAGCCGCUGCAGCUGCCCAGAAAAGUCCAACAAACUGAGAGACAGACAAAAAAGAAAAAAAACAAAAAAAGGGAAAAACAGAACGAGAACCGCAACAACAAGAGUUCAUAUUCAAAUUUGUAGAACGUGCAAUGAAUUCGAAAAUGAAAAUGAGUAAACCCGCAAAAACAGAGCCGAGACACUCGGAAUAAAUGCAUGGGGCAGGC